GCUUACGGCCAUACCACCCUGAGCACGCCCGAUCUCGUCUGAUCUCGGAAGCUAAGCACGGUCGGGCCUGGAUUAGUACUUGGAUGGGAGACCGCCUGGGAAUACCAGGUGCUGUAAGCU
rnacentral:rRNA from 1 species